CCGGAUCUAGAUGUGAUAAGACAAUAAAUAGUGGAUAUCAAUUUUAGUUUUUGUUUUUAAUAAUUAAAAUUGUAAAUAUAUUUAUUCAUUCUGAAUAUAUAGUUUUUUUUAUUAUUAAUCCUUCAAUGUUUUUUAACUAUUAUUAUUCAUUAUUGUAUGGAUUUGGACCAUCGUUGUGGCAAUCCACUUAAUAAAAUGUGGGUAGUUUUUUUU
rnacentral:lncRNA from 1 species